GCCGCAUUGGCUCAGCAGCGAGAGCAGCCGCUUGUCGAGCGGAAGGUCGCGGGUGCGAGUCCCGCAUGCGGCGCCA
rnacentral:tRNA from 1 species